UGGGGAAUAUUGGACAAUGGACCAAAAGUCUGAUCCAGCAAUUCUGUGUGCACGAUGACGUUUUUCGGAAUGUAAAGUGCUUUCAGUUGGGAAGAAAAAAAUGACGGUACCAACAGAAGAAGUGACGGCUAAAUACCCCCCCCCCCCCCCCGGUGUUAAUAUUUUUUUCACAAGCGUUAUCCGGAUUUAUUGGGCGUAAAGCGCGUCUAGGUGGUUAUGUAAGUCUGAUGUGAAAAUGCAGGGCUCAACUCUGUAUUGCGUUGGAAACUGUAUGACUAGAGUACUGGAGAGGUAAGCGGAACUACAAGUGUAGAGGUGAAAUUCGUAGAUAUUUGUAGGAAUGCCGAUGGGGAAGCCAGCUUACUGGACAGAUACUGACGCUAAAGCGCGAAAGCGUGGGUAGCAAACAGGAUUAGAUACCCUGGUAGUCCACGCCGUAAACGAUGAUUACUAGGUGUUGGGGGUCGAACCUCAGCGCCCAAGCUAACGCGAUAAGUAAUCCGCCUGGGGAGUACGUACGCAAGUAUG
rnacentral:rRNA from 1 species